GCUAGCGUGGCAGAGCCCGGCCAAUGCAAAAGACCUAAGCCCUUUUUAUCAGAGGUUCAAAUCCUCUCGCUAGCU
rnacentral:tRNA from 1 species